AAGUGUUCCUCUGCUGUAUUACAAUUUAAACUGAGUAGUCAUACAGAAAAACAUUUCUUUCAUCAUGUAUAUCUAGUGAAAUGCAAACAGCAAAUAAGCAGCCACAUACAAAUAAGGUUCCUUUCAGCAUUAACAUUUAAAGUUUAUAUUAGUUACACAGUGAGCAGGAAGUUUUUAUAAAGUAUGAGGUUUUAUUGACAAUGCCUGUUUGAAAGCAGAUAUGUAUUACAAUAUGUAUUGUUCAUCUAUAUUCUCAAUUACAGCUUCGAAUGAAGAGACAGCUAACAGCAUCCUCCAAAAGGCAGAUACAUACUCCUGGGCUUCUACUAAAGCACAAAUCACUGCAUGCACAGUUCAGCUUUGAAGCCUUACCAUAAAAGAUACGAAAAGAUUUAGGAUGAGUUUCAAAAAGCAUAUUGGCUUCCUUUCAAAACAGCCCAGAAAGUUGCAUCUUACGAUUUUUGUUUUAUGUUAUUGUAAUUUAGUUAGCGUAUGGAAGUUUUUGGUUUUUCUUAGAUUACAUUCAGCUUUUGAGAAAUCAUGGAAUUAUUUGUGAAGUUGCCACAAGCAAGCAGUUAAUUUCCUUCUAAUUUAUGAAGCAAAUAAUCAAGGCAAUUGUAAAAGUUUUGUUUCCAAGCCCAUGUCUUCUGUCAUUGUAGGUGGCCAGAACAAGUUCUUUAGAAAAGUGGACUAGAACUGGGUCAGGAUAUUCUGUAAGCCAGCAUCUUGGUGUCUCAAAGAAAUAUUGCUCAUGGUUUCAGAAAGCAGAAACCCAGAAGAAAUAAAACAUAAGGGGAAUGGUGGUUCUCAGGUGCAAGUAUUUACCACACAGUUUUCCUAGAGAACAUCAAAGGUGAGAUUUUAGGGAAGGCUGAAGCACUGAAUUAGCUGACAGUGUAUAAACACUGUCUCUUACCUCUUCACUCUCAGCACUCUGACAUCGACGCAAAGUAUUUAAGAGCUUGCCUUGCAGACUGAUGAGCAGCACUAAAAGGCAGGCAAAGGUCUAUUACCCCAUCUCCCCUUAAUGGGUCUGUGGUGCCUGGCAGUAAUGCACUGCACAGAUGGUGUAUGGAUGAUGCAUAGACAACAAUAGCUCCUCGAUUUCAUUACCCUGUGACACCCUGUUAGAUACAUCUUUGAUGGACAAAGAAUUCCCAUUCAUAAUUACUCUCUGAGAGUCAAGAGUUUUAAUUUCAAAACUAAUUGCUAUGAGUUAUAUGAAUAUAUGUUUUACGUCACACCAUAAUUUAGUUGCCACAGAGGUGUCUAACUGCAAUAUACCAUCUGGUUUAUAAUGGAUCACAAACUAACAUGAAUCAUAUAUGAUCUGGAAUCAAUCAGAAACGAUGGGGGGGCUUAUGUGAUUAUUUUGUCAUUCUGUCCUUCUGUCCAUCAGCACAUGUCUCUUACAAAUUUUGAAGCCUUUGCCAGUUUGACAAGUUGAGUGGAAAACUGGGAUAUAAGCCUCAAAGAUACUAUAUUCUUUGACAUUUCAUGAUAAUUCAGAAAGAAGUGGAAGAGACACCCCAAUUAGUCUCUCCACUAAUUAAUGUUGCCACUAAUUCCAGUUUUACUUGAGCCUCUUACUAAUUUGGAAAGACUAAUGAUACGUCUCUGACUGGCAGCUCUGCACACGGAAGCCAGCCCAGCAUACAUGCAGGAAGAGAAAACUACAGUUGACUUUCGCAGGAGAGAGAUGCAGAAAGCUCACUGGAAGGAUACAGGGAGAAAGAACAUCCCUCCCUAGGCAACCAGGCCUCCCCCAUCAUUGUCUUUAAGAAACAGUAAGUUACUCAUAGGAAGAAGACACCGAGCUGCUUUUGCAAGCCUGUUUUCCCAAAGCUGAAUAGAAGUUAUUACAUGUCUUUGUAUCUUACAGCUGACAAAAUUUUUUAUUUCCAAGCCAACACAUUCACCCUCAAAACAGCCCUGUCUGUAAUCCUAGCAGUAGCCCUCAGUAUUUUUAAAAAUUAUCUAAAACAUGACUGACAAGCAGUAAGAGGAUCCCAAAGAA